rnacentral:rRNA from 1 species
CAAGUCGAACGAGACGAUUUAGAAGCUUGCUUUUAUUGAGUCGAGUGGCAAACGGGUGAGUAACGCGUAGACAACCUGCCGCAAAGAUGGGGACAACAGUCCGAAAGGACUGCUAAUACCGAAUGUUGUAUCUCCUCCGCAUGGAAGAGAUAUUAAAGAUGGCCUCUACUUGUAAGCUAUCGCUUUGCGAUGGGUCUGCGUCUGAUUAGCUAGUUGGUGGGGCAACGGCCUACCAAGGCGACGAUCAGUAGCCGGUCUGAGAGGAUGAACGGCCACAUUGGAACUGAGACACGGUCCUUAGACUCCUACGGGAGGCAGCAGUGGGGAAUCUUCCGCAAUGGGCGAAAGCCUGACGGAGCAACGCCGCGUGAGUGAAGAAGGUCUUCGGAUCGUAAAGCUCUGUUGUCGGGGACGAAUGUUGAGACCUAGAACAUAGGUUUCAAAUGACGGUACCUGACGAGGAAGCCACGGCUAACUACGUG